GACGAACGCUGGCGGCGUGCCUAACACAUGCAAGUCGAGCGGAAAUAUCAACGGGUAACCGGAGGUAUUUUAGCGGCGGACGGGUGAGUAACGCGUGGGUAACCUGCCUUUUACAGGGGGAUAACAUCGGGAAACCGGUGCUAAUACCGCAUAAAGUUAAUUCAUGGCAUCAUGGAAUAACCAAAGGAGUCAAAUCCGGUAAGAGAUGGACCCGCGUCCGAUUAGCUAGUUGGUGGGGUAAAGGCCUACCAAGGCGACGAUCGGUAGCCGGACUGAGAGGUUGAACGGCCACAUUGGGACUGAGACACGGCCCAAACUCCUACGGGGGGCAGCAGUGGGGAAUAUUGCGCAAUGGGGGAAACCCUGACGCAGCAACGCCGCGUGAAGGAUGAAGGCUUUCGGGUUGUAAACUUCUUUGAAUGGGGAAGAAAAAAAUGACGGUACCCAUAAAACAAGCCACGGCUAACUACGUGCCAGCCGCCGCGGUAAAAC
rnacentral:rRNA from 1 species